rnacentral:rRNA from 1 species
AGAGCUCAAAUUUGAAAUCUGGCGGUUUCUGACCGUCCGAGUUGUAAUCUAGAGAAGUGCUACCUGUGCUGGACCGUGUACAAGUCUCCUGGAAUGGAGCAUCACAGAGGGUGAGAAUCCCGUCUUUGACACGGACUGCCUGUACAUUAUGGUGCGCUCUCAAAGAGUCGAGUUGUUUGGGAAUGCAGCUCAAAAUGGGAGGUAAAUUCCAUCUAAAGCUAAAUAUAGGCGAGAGACCGAUAGCGAA